ensembl:lncRNA novel transcript
CAGCUCCCUUCCCGGCGGCCUUUGCGGGAACAAGAUGGCAGCCCUCAUACCUCAAGGGUUCUCUUGUUUAUCGAGGGUUUUGGGCUGGUGGUCUCGGCAGCCAGUUCUGGUGACUCAGUCCGCAGCUAUAGUUCCAGUAAGAACUAAAAAACGUUUCACAUCUCCUAUUUAUCAACCUAAAUUUAAAACAGAAAAGGAGUUUAUGCAACAUGCCCGGAAAGCAGGAUUGGUUAUUCCUCCAGAAAAAUCGGACCGUUCCAUACAUCUGGCCUGUACAGCUGGUAUAUUUGAUGCCUAUGUUCCUCCUGAGGGUGAUGCACGCAUAUCAUCUCUUUCAAAGGAGAGAUGAUAGAGAGAACUGAUAGAGAGAACUGAACGAAUGAAGAAGACUAUGGCAUCACAAGUGUCAAUCCGGAGGAUAAAAGACUAUGAUGCCAACUUUAAAAUAAAGGACUUCCCUGAAAAAGCUAAGGAUAUCUUUAUUGAAGCUCACCUUUGUCUAAAUAAGUUGGGCCCAUGAGAUGUGUGCUCUGUAUAUUCCGGAGGUACAAUUUGCCAGUGUUUCCACAAUGGAACCAAUUGUUUUACAGUCUGUUCCACAUGAUCAUUGUAAUAAGGGUUAGAAUAGGCUCAGUGGCUCAUGCCUAUAGUCCUAGCACUUUGGGACGCCCAGGCAGGAGUAUCACUUGAGCCCAGAAGUUUGAAUCCAGUCUGGACAACAAGCAAGACCCUGUCUCUACAAAAAAGAAUAAAUUUAGCCAGGUGUGGGGAGGCACAUGUGUCUGUAGUCCCAACUACUCAAGAGGCUGCGGUGGGAGGGUCCCUUGAGCCCAGAGGUCAAGGCUGCAGUGAACCGUGACUGUGCCCUGCACCCCCACCUGGGCAACAGAGCAAGACCCUGUCUCAGAAAAGAACAGCAAGCAAAGAA